rnacentral:rRNA from 1 species
AUUGAACGCUGGCGGCGCGCCUAAUACUUGCAAGUCGGGCGAAUCUGAGGGAGCUUGCUCCCAAAGGUUAGCGGCGGACGGGUGAGUAACACGUGGGCAACCUGCCUAUAAGACUGGGAUAACUUCGGGAAACCGGAGCUAAUACCGGAUAAUUCCUUUUCUCUCAUGAGGAAAGGCUGAAAGACGGUUUCGGCUGUCACUUUUAGAUGGGCCCGCGGUGCAUUAGCUAGUUGGUGAGGUAACGGCUCACCAAGGCGACGAUGCGUAGCCGAACUGAGAGGGUGAUCGGCCACACUGGGACUGAGACACGGCCCAGACUCCUACGGGAGGCAGCAGUAGGGAAUCUUCCGCAAUGGACGAAAGUCUGACGGAGCAACGCCACGUGAGUGAUGAAGGUUUUCGGAUCGUAAAACUCUGUUGUUAGGGAAGAACAAGUACUAGAGUAACUGCUAGUACCUUGACGGUACCUAACCAGAAAGCCACGGCUAACUACGUGCCAGCCGCCGCGGUAA